UCAGUUUGGAGCCAGUGUGUGCAAGAAACAAUUACAUAAAUAAUUAAUAAAUAACUAUUAUUCCAAGUUGUUCCAUGGAGUUUUGUAAAAAAAAUUAGGUUCUUGUUGUAAGAUCCCAUUUAGUAUGUUGUACUAUUUAGCUAGAAUGUUUUUCAGAAAAUAUAGGAUAUCAAAGGUGAAUAAUGUUAUAAAAAUUCAAAUCCUUAAAGUAUUAUAUAAUUGUGCAAUAUAUAACUGUUUGCAACUAAAAUGUCCAUAGUGUCAUACGAUUCAAAGUCUUCACCCUCACAUCUGGCUGCACUUUAUCCUACCCAUAUUUUGUGUUUUCCCAUUGUCUUUGUAGUAAUUUAAUCCAAAAAAUAAUGCCAAAGGGAUAAUUUGAUGUUAGCAUAACAUGAUGUGCAACACACAAUAUGCUUAAAUUGGUUACAUCACACCAAAACCUUGAUGUUUCUCAUUGCCUCUAUAUAAUUAAUUCACUAUAAAGUGUCUUAUAUGCAAUUUCUGAUGCUAUAAUGCACCAAAACCUUGAUGUUUCUCAUUGCCUAUAUAUAAUUAAUUCACUAUAAAGUGUAUUAUAUGCAAUUUCUGAUGCUAUAACGCACCUUACAUCGGAUAGGAAGGAAUAAGCAUGUGUGCAUUUAGCCUAGUUCUUAAAAAAAAUGAAGGAUAUUUGCUUGCAGUUAUCACUAGUUAAACAUGUUAUGGUACAUUUUCAUUGAUAUUAGCACUGUUCACAAACUGUUUUGUGUCGUUCAAUCAUUGCAUGUAGUAG
rnacentral:lncRNA from 1 species